rnacentral:tRNA from 1 species
GCCAGGGUUAGCCUAGUGGUUAAGGCUUUGGAUCGCCAAUCCGGAGACGGCGGGUUCGAUUCCCGUUUCCGGUC